rnacentral:snRNA from 2 species
GUCCCUUUGUGGACAUCCUAUAAAGUUUGAACGGUACAAAGAAACAUGAUCCCUGCGAAAGAAUGACACAUGUAAAUCAAAAAAAUAAUUCAAAGUAU